rnacentral:rRNA from 1 species
AUUGAACGCUGGCGGCAGGCCUCACACAUGCAAGUCGAGCGAGAGGCGGACGGGUGAGUAAUGUAUGGGGAUCUGCCCGAUAGAGGGGGAUAACUACUGGAAACGGUAGCUAAUAACGCAUACUAUCGGAUGAAACCAUAGGGGAUGAGCUAGUAGGUGGGGUAAAGGCUCACCUAGGCGACGAGAUCUAGCUGGUCUGAGAGGAUGAUCAGGAAGACUGGAACUGAGACACGGUCCAGACGCCUACGGGAGGAAGCAGUGGGGAAUAUUGAACAAUGGGCGCAAGCCUGAUGCAGCCAUGCCGCGUGUAUGAAGAAGGCCUGAGGGUUGUAAAGUACUUUCAGCGGGGAGGCGUUACCCGCAGAAGAAGCACCGGCUAACUCCGUGCCAGCAGCCGCGGUAAUUC